UCUGGUAGCCUUCGGUUGCCCGAGUUGUAAUCUAGAGAAGUGUUUUCCGCGUUGGCCCAUGUACAAGUCCCUUGGAACAGGGCGUCAUAGAGGGUGAGAAUCCCGUCCUUGACAUGGACCCCCAAUGCUUUGUGAUACACUUUCAACGAGUCGAGUUGUUUGGGAAUGCAGCUCAAAAUGGGUGGUGAAUUCCAUCUAAAGCUAAAUAUUGGCGAGAGACCGAUAGCGAACAAGUACCGUGAGGGAAAGAUGAAAAGCACUUUGGAAAGAGAGUUAAACAGUACGUGAAAUUGUUGAAAGGGAAACGAUUGAAGUCAGUCAUGCUCUUUGGAUUAAGCCGUUCUGCGGUGUAUUUCAUUGAGCGGGGUCAACAUCAGUUUUGAUCGCUGGAAAAGGGCAGGAGGAAGGUAGCACUCUCGGGUGAACUUAUAGCCUCUUGUCGUAUACAGUGAUUGGGACUGAGGAACGCAGCAUGCCUUUUGGCCGGGAUUCGUCCACGUACAUGCUUAGGAUGUUGACAUAAUGGCUUUAAACGACCCGUCUUG
rnacentral:rRNA from 1 species